GCGGGUGUAGCUCAGUUGGUAGAGCGACAGCCUUCCAAGCUGUAGGUCGCGGGUUCGAGCCUCGUCACCCGCU
rfam:Flammeovirga sp. MY04 chromosome 1, complete sequence.